AUUGAACGCUGGCGGGAGGCUUAACACAUGCAAGUCGAGCGAGAGGCGGAGGGGGGAGUAAUGUCUGGGAAACUGCCUGAUGUAGGGGGGGAACUACUGGCAAAGGUAGCUAUUACCGCAUAACAUAAGAGGGGCCCAGAUGGGAUUGGCUAGUAGGUGGGGUAACGGCGCACCGAGGCGAAGAGCCCUAGAUGGUCUGAGAGGAGGACCAGCCCCACUGGAACUGAGACACGGUCCAGACUCCUACGGGAGGCAGCAGUGGGGAAUAUUGCACAAUGGGCGCAAGCCUGAUGCAGCCAUGCCGCGUGUGUGAAGAAGGCCUUCGGGUUGUAAAGCACUUUCGGCGGGGAGGCGUUACCCGCAGAAGAAGCACCGGCUAACUCCGUGCCAGCAGCCGCGGUAAUUC
rnacentral:rRNA from 1 species